AGCGAACGCUGGCGGCAGGCCUAACACAUGCAAGUCGAACGAACCUUUCGGGGUUAGUGGCGGACGGGUGAGUAACACGUGGGAACGUGCCUUUAGGUUCGGAAUAACUCAGGGAAACUUGUGCUAAUACCGAAUGUGCCCUUCGGGGGAAAGAUUAAUCGCCUUUAGAGCGGCCCGCGUCUGAUUAGCUAGUUGGUUGAGGUAAUGGCUCACCAAGGCGACGAUCAGUAGCUGGUCUGAGAGGAUGAUCAGCCACAUUGGGACUGAGACACGGACCAAACUCCUACGGGAGGCAGCAGUGGGGAAUCUUGCGCAAUGGGCGAAAGCCUGACGCAGCCAAGCCGCGUGAAUGAUGAAGGUCUUAGGAUUGUAAAAUUCUUUCACCGGGGACGAUAAUGACGGUACCCGGAGAAGAAGCCCCGGCUAACUUCGUG
rnacentral:rRNA from 1 species